rnacentral:rRNA from 1 species
GAUGAACGCUGGCGGCGUGCCUAAUACAUGCAAGUCGAGCGAACAGAUAAGGAGCUUGCUCCUUUGACGUUAGCGGCGGACGGGUGAGUAACACGUGGGUAACCUACCUAUAAGACUGGAAUAACUCCGGGAAACCGGGGCUAAUGCCGGAUAACAUGUUGAACCGCAUGGUUCUACAGUGAAAGGCGGCUUUGCUGUCACUUAUAGAUGGACCCGCGCCGUAUUAGCUAGUUGGUGAGGUAACGGCUCACCAAGGCAACGAUACGUAGCCGACCUGAGAGGGUGAUCGGCCACACUGGAACUGAGGCACGGUCCAGACUCCUACGGGAGGCAGCAGUAGGGAAUCUUCCGCAAUGGGCGAAAGCCUGACGGAGCAACGCCGCGUGAGUGAUGAAGGUCUUCGGAUCGUAAAACUCUGUUAUUAGGGAAGAACAAAUGCGUAAGUAACUGUGCGCGUCUUGACGGUACCUAAUCAGAAAGCCACGGCUAACUACGUG